AGAGAGAGGAAGGAAGACUUAUCCAUAUCAAUGUAAUAAGUGUACUGUCCUUUCAAUCAUCAGCAGAUACAGACUUCUCUAUCCAGGGGCUCGAUCUACUUUGUACAACUGGACUAUGGUUAAGCAGUAAUAAAGAUUCUGCAGAUGGAACUUAGCCGAUGGUGUUGUAGUUGAUGUAUGGGACAAAAAGAAUCCAGCCUGCUCUUUCAUAACUGCAUUGGCUCAGCAGGACGUAAUGGUGUGAAAAACUUGUUUUCUGUUACUGAGCCACCUGCCUGCCGUAUGGAUUUUGGACUUGCCAGUCUCCACAAUCAUAUCAAGAAACAGUUUUAGCAAAGUCAUUACACUUCUUACAGGAAAAUGGAGACUGGAAUUCAGAUCCUCUUAUUGGUAUUUAGUAAGUUCACACUUUCCAGCAUACAUUAUAGUGCUUAGAUUAUUUUUUCAAUGACUUGAUGUGGCAGUUUGAGUCUGUCGUAUGUGGGAUACAUGCUCUUAAUAUUUUAGCAAAUGGGAUAAAGAAUAUUUUCAUACCUUUAAAUU